GAAAGAGACGAUCUUAAAAGUAGAACUUUUAAGAUUGGUUAUUUAACCGGUCUUAAAAGUCCAACUUUUAAGAUUGGUUACGAA
rnacentral:miRNA from 1 species